rnacentral:rRNA from 1 species
AUUGAACGCUGGCGGCAGGCUUAACACAUGCAAGUCGAGCGGGGUGAUGGUGCUUGCACUAUCACUUAGCGGCGGACGGGUGAGUAAUGCUUAGGAAUCUGCCUAUUAGUGGGGGACAACAUCUCGAAAGGGAUGCUAAUACCGCAUACGUCCUACGGGAGAAAGCAGGGGAUCACUUGUGACCUUGCGCUAAUAGAUGAGCCUAAGUCGGAUUAGCUAGUUGGUGGGGUAAAGGCCUACCAAGGCGACGAUCUGUAGCGGGUCUGAGAGGAUGAUCCGCCACACUGGGACUGAGACACGGCCCAGACUCCUGCGGGAGGCAGCAGUGGGGAAUAUGGGACAAUGGGGGGAACCCUGAUCCAGCCCUGCCGCGUGUGUGAAGAAGGCCUUAUGGUUGUAAAGCACUUUAAGCGAGGAGGAGGCUCUUUUGGUUAAUACCCAAGAUGAGUGGACGUUACUCGCAGAAUAAGCACCGGCUAACUCUGUGCCAGCCGCCGCAGUAA